UGACCCUUUUCAUCAUUCCGCCAUUAGGAGUCCCGGUUAGACAUUUUAUCUUGGGAGUAUAAAAAAUGAUCCCACUGUUCCCUUAUUGAAGAUCUUUCUAGCAUGGAUAGUUGACCCCUUAGCAUUUGUUCUAAUGCCGCUUUCCAAAUUCGAGAAGUUGUCUUCCUGGAAAUCUGGAAAUGUGAUGAAGCUUCUUUCAUAGCCCCUUUGGUCAGCACUCCAUUAUGGCUGUUCUUCAUCAGGAACUGAGCAAUGUUGUUCUUCAUGUUGGUGCUUAUAAAUAUGGACUGCCUCUGCUCUCCAUCCAUUGCUCAAUGAAGAACUCUAGCUAAAUUGAACUUGUAUCUUUUGGAUUUUGAUUUUUGAGAAGUUAUAGUUAACGACUGUAUUUAUAGGGAAUUUCAAUGACUGAAAUUGAGUUUAAAUUUCCCUCUUGAAUUUUAAGAGGGGAAAAUGAAUUGAAACUUUCAUUAA